AAUCAAAAACUUAAAGAACAGUGCGGAAAAAUCCGAAUCAAUUUGCAAUCAAAACACUGGAACCGCAUUUUCAACAGGCUGGAUGACAAUUUAUAGGCGAAUCGACGGUUCCGAAAACUUCAAUCGUAGCUGGAGUGACUAUAAAAACGGAUUUGGAAACCCUUAUAAAGAAUUCUUUGUUGGACUCGAAAAACUGUAUCUUGCAACCUAUGAACGACCCCACGAAUUUUACAUCAAAUUAGAAAGACUAUAUUCCCCUUGUUACUUGUACUAUAGUAACUUUACUAUUGGCAGCGAGAAGGAAUCGUAUGCGAUAAAGUCUUUGGGAAAAUAUUCUGGUACAUUACCACGGAACUUAUAUUCUGCCUUUGAGAACAAGGAAUUCACCACAUUUGAUCGAGGCAAUUCUCAAUACUCUUGCAUUACCGAUUUUGAUUACAGGAUGGGACGAUGUGGUUCAAGUUGGCUAAAUACAGAAUAUACCUCUUUAGAUAAUAUAUUAAGAAGCAGACUUGGUUCGGGCAGGUUAUUAAUUAAAAUUGAAAUGAUGAUAAGGCCAAAGAUCCAAUUAACCAGCGGUUGUAUAAAUGAAAUCAACAAAAACAAUUCCCUUGCUGACAUCACAAAUAAGUAAAAUACCCUCUGGAAGAGUAUAAUAUCUUUUGAAAUCUACUCAUCUCUAUGUAUUUGUUAGGUUUGUCAAAUGAGAAUAAAGCGAUUUCGAAUAAUGUUUAUAGUGAAGUAAUUAUCAGAUAAGAUAUGAAUCCCGUUUGUAUAGCUGAUGUAAACAGGCCGGAGUGCCAGGAAUGGAUGGUCGAGGUGUAUGCGAAGUGCCGGGAUCUCUUUGGGACUCAAGACUUUUUAUUGUCGAUAGCCACGCUCCCGCUGUAUUCAAGGAGGAUGUUGAGGCGAUGACCGCCGUGGACUGCCGUCGCUUAAGGCGGGAAUUGGCCGAGAAAGACGAGGGGGAGGGCUUAAAAAACUAUGAAUAUAACAAGGCAUCCACAAUUAAAAAAAUUACUAAAACUUAAAAAAUAAAUAAAAAUUGAAUUUAGCCAAGUCACUACAAACAA